UACGGAGGGGGCUAGCGUUGUUCGGAAUUACUGGGCGUAAAGCGCACGUAGGCGGCCAACUAAGUCAGACGUGAAAUCCCUCGGCUUAACCGGGGAACUGCAUCUGAUACUGGAUGGCUUGAGAUUGGGAGAGGGAUGCGGAAUUCCAGGUGUAGCGGUGAAAUGCGUAGAUAUCUGGAGGAACACCGGUGGCGAAGGCGGCAUCCUGGACCAACACUGACGCUGAGGAGCGAAAGCCAGGGGAGCAAACGGG
rnacentral:rRNA from 1 species